rnacentral:rRNA from 1 species
UUAUAAUUUGCCUCAAUUUAGGGUAAAGAUAUAGUCCGAUCUCGUAAGCGAUUACGAGGACCGUAUUGGUCACUCCGAAAUUCGGAGGAACAUUAAUGUAGAGACCUGUGUAGUCCCAGCCGUAAACGAUCUCUGCUAGAUAGCCGGUUUUCUGGCUGUCGCAGCUAACGCGUUAAGCAGAGCGCCUGGGGAGUACGAGCGCAAGCUUAAAACUCAAAGGAAUUGACGGGGACCCGCACAAGCAGUGGAGCGUGUUGUUUAAUUCGAUACGAAACGAAAAACCUCACCAGGGCUUGACAUGUAGCUGCAAAUCCCAGGAAACUGGGACUUCUUCGAGAGUGCUACACAGAUGCUGCAUGGCUGUCGUCAGCUCGUGGCGUGAAGUCUGAAAUAAGACUUUUUCGCGCCCUCCCGCCGUAAGACGGGAUGUAAAAUUCGGCUCAUAUCGGUGAAACUGAUUGACUUUUGGGUUACAUUUGGGUAAUCUGAAAGUAUAGGUAAUACCGAGGGAAGUCGGUUAGUAUGGACGGUAGAUGGUAGAGGAUAGAAGGUAGAGAUUUGAAGAUGGAUGGUAGAAAGUUUAAGAUGGAAGUAUGCUUAGAAGCUUUAAGGAUUUGGAAGUUUACAAAGAGAGUUACAAAUUAGCAAUUAUUGUUAAUCAAAACUGUAACAAGCUUCCAAUGUACGAGAAGAAUGACUUAACUUCUCAAUUAAGAAGAGCUUCGAAAUCAGUUCCAUCAAACCUAGCUGAAGGCUGGGCGAAAAGAAGGUUUGAAAAGGAGUUUAAAAAGCAUAUUGAUAGCGCACUCGGUUCAUGUAAUGAAAUGGAGGUGCAUCUAAAUAUGGCAAGAGAUUUAAACUACCUAAGUAGAACUCUUUGCGAUCAGCUUAUCAGUCAGUAUAUUCUUUUAGGUGGUAAAUUAACCAACCUUAGGAAUAACUGGAAAACUUAUUAAUCCAUUAUCCAUUUUCAAUCAUCAACAAUCUAUUUUCUAUUUUCCAUCAUCUAUCGUCUAAUUAACUUGACCCUGUAACGACUUACAUUUCAGGUACCAGAUAUUCUGGAAUUAAACUGAAAUUAUACGCCGAACAUCCUUUUUGGAAGGAUGAUGGGAUAGUCUAUUAUUGCUAAAACGCAAGAGCGUUGCUAACGCAAUAGGAGCUGUUAUCUUAAGUGAUGAAACGAGCGCAACCCUCACCGUAUGUUAAAUAAUUCAUGCGGAACAGCCCCGAUUUUUCGGGGAGGAAGGCGAGGAUGACGUCAAGUCAGCACGGUUCUUACGCCCUGGGCCACAAACACACUACAAUGGCGAAAAACAAUGAGUUGCAAGCUAGCAAUAGCAAGCUAAUCUCUGAAAUUUCGCCUCAGUUCAGAUUGGGGUCUGCAACCCGACCCCAUGAAGUCGGAAUUGCUAGUAAUCGCGGAUCAGCGUGCCGCGGUGAAUACGUUCUCGGGUCUUGUACACACCGCCCGUCUUAAUUUAGGCGGCCCAAGGAUGCGAAUCUUUGGGUAAAUCAGCUAAUAU